AGUGAACGCUGGCGGUGCGCCUAAGACAUGCAAGUCGAGUGGGUUUAGACCCACGGCGAACGGCUGCGUAACACAUGGGUACCUACCCCGAACUCAGGAAUAACCUCCCGAAAGGGAGGCUAAUGCCGGAUAGUCCCGCAAGGGUAAAGCUUUUGCGGUUCGGGAGGGGCCUGUGGCCUAUCAGUUAGUUGGUGAGGUAACGGCUCACCAAGACAAUGACGGGUAGCUGGUCUGAGAGGACGACCAGCCAGAAUGGAACUGAGACACGGUCCAUACUCCUACGGGAGGCAGCAGUUAGGAAUCUUCCACAAUGGGCGAAAGCCUGAUGGAGCGACACCGCGUGAAGGAUGAAGCCUUUAACUAGGUGUAAACUUCUGUUAUGAGGGACGGAAUUUUUGACGGUACCUCAUGAGAAAGCACCGGCUAAUUCUGUGCCAGCAGCCGCGGU
rnacentral:rRNA from 1 species